rnacentral:lncRNA from 1 species
GCCCUUCUUCUGCAGAAAGGGAGGAUUCUUGACAAGUUGAGCAAAGCAUCUUCAGAAGAAUUUUGGACAGAUUCCUGACUGUCAAGAUAACAUCAGGAAAGCUCUGGUGUCCAGGUCGCAGUCAGGCUGUUGCAGAGUGUCUGUUGGGAAGACCUGGAUAUGCAACUGGGCAGCCUGUUACAGACAAAGCUCUGACUGAAACAGAGAGAACCAGCACUAUGUAA